UUCCGGUUGAUCCUGCCGGACCUGACUGCUAUCGGAUUGAUACUAAGCCAUGCGAGCCAUUGUAGCAAUACAAGGCAGACGGCUCAGUAACGCGUAGUCAACCUAACCUAUGGACGGGAAUAACCUCGGGAAACUGAGAAUAAUGCCCGAUAGAACACUAUGCCUGGAAUGGUUUGUGUUCCAAACGAUUUAUCGCCGUAGGAUGGGACUGCGGCCUAUCAGUUUGUUGGUGAGGUAAUGGCCCACCAAGACUAUUACAGGUACGGGCUCUGAGAGGAGUGGCCCGGAGAUGGGUACUGAGACACGGACCCAGGUCCUAUGGGGCGCAGCAGGCGAGAAAACUUUGCAAUGUGCGAAAGCACGACAAGGUUAAUCCGAGUGGUUUCUGCUAAAGAAACCUUUUGUCGGUCCUAGAAACACCGAUGAAUAAGGGGUGGGCAAGUUCUGGUGUCAGCCGCCACGGUAAAACCAGCACCUCAAGUGGUCAGGAUGAUUAUUGGGCCUAAAGCAUCCGUAGCCUGCUUUGUUAGUUUUCGGUUAAAUCUGUACGCUCAACGUACAGGCUGCCGGGAAUACUGCAAAGCUAGGGAGUGGGAGAGGUAGACGGUACUCGGUAGGAAGGGGUAAAAUCCUUUGAUCUAUUGAUGACCACCUGUGGCGAAGGCGGUCUACCAGAACACGUCCGACGGUGAGGGAUGAAAGCUGGGGGAGCAAACCGGAUUAGAUACCCGGGUAGUCCCAGCUGUAAACCAUGCAAACUCAGUGAUGCAUUGGCUUGUGGCCAAUGCAGUGCUGCAGGGAAGCCGUUAAGUUUGCCGCCUGGGAAGUACGUACGCAAGUAUGAAACUUAAAGGAAUUGGCGGGGGAGCACCACAAGGGGUGAAGCCUGCGGUUCAAUUGGAGUCAACGCCGGA
rnacentral:rRNA from 1 species